GCGACAAAAGAUGCUCGCAGCAACUCCACGCCAUUGCAAAUCCAUCUGUGGAUGAAGUAGCCCUCCCAAGUUCAUCCAUAACAAUCAGACUCCUGCGUCCAUCAAAAUUUUUGUAGAAAAAAGAAAAGAAGCCUGUUGUGUGUAUGUAAAGUGAAGCAGAUCAAAAGGAUCAAAUUGACUCACUACUCGGGUGUUUAGAAAUUGUACCGUGCUAGAGUUGGAUUCAAGAUUAUCAACUGCGCCCAUCCUUGUAAACAUACGAUCAACUACCCUAAGAGUUGAGAAACGAGCCGGAACAUAACAUCCAACUUGAGCAAGAAUAACUAUGAGACAAACUUGUUGAAGAAUACAUCUAUGGGAGAAAAAUGUGGUCCUGUGGAGAUAAGUUACAGUGGCUAUUGGAUAUGUUCAUUACGUACAACAAAGUCAUUGUGUAUGCUCUCCAGGAUAGGGUGUCUACCAGAAUCAAUUGCCAAUGGCCCAUUCUCUAUCCAAGAAAAAUAUCAAUAAACAAAUUUGUUCAUUGAUGAACAAAAAAAUUAUAGAAAUGAUCAAUUUAUUACCUGUAAAUUCUGGCCUUGUAUAUCUAUCAACGGGCUUAGUUGAUAUCAUAUGAGCAAAUGAAUUGACAAU